rnacentral:tRNA from 1 species
GCAAUGGGGACUCAGUGAUAGGAUUCUUGCCUUCCAUGCGGGAGACCUGGGUUUGAUUCCCAGCCAGUGCU